UUAAAUAAUAAGUAUGAAAUAUACAAAUCUUGACACUGAUAGGUGCAAGACAAUAUAUUCGAAAAGUGAUAUUUUCGAAGAUGAAAAGGUUGAUAUAAAUUAAACAUGACGUGACAUGAUCACGGUCAAGAGGUACAAUGUGAAGAAGAAUCACAUUAUAACCAAGCGAGCGGUAAAAAGAAACCGGACUAAUAAGUCUAGUUAGUGAAACCGGUUAAGGUCAGUAAUUCAAGUUAAGAAAUUUGGUUUGCUUGUAAGUGGUAAAUUCGGUAUAACUGAACCGAAUAAAUAAAUUUGAAAAUAAAAAGAUUUGUUGCUAAAAGUGAAAGAUUUCACUAAAGACCUUUAAACGGGUCAAAGUAACGGGUUCAUAAAGAAAUCCGAUAGUAUAUGAAAGCAUUGAAUAUCGCUAAGUUGAUUAAACUAGUGGAAAUAACGAGAUUACGUUAUUUCAAGUCGCAUCAUGUCAUAUAAGAUACGUAGAUGAUUAAUAACCAAAAGGAUAUUACCAUACUUUUCUGGUAAUACUAACAAUCGGUUAAGAUAUGAGAAAUGCUUAAUUGAUUAUCGAGAGCAAAUGCAUGGAGUGGAACUCGAUAAAUUAAGUAAGAAAAGGUUUCGGGGACGAAACCUCUUUAAGGGGGGUAGACUUGUAACACCCCGAAAACGGGUUUGGUAAUUAAACCCCGUUAAUACUAAAGACGGGGAAAGUACCGUUAGUGGUAAAAGUAAACUGGCAAAUAUUAGGAAUUUAUUUAAUAAUCCUAAUAUUUAUUUGAAGUGAAUAAAAAGCUUUUAAGAAAUAAAGUGAUAGAAGGCCCGAGUUAACGGGACCCGAAAUAAACUUAGUCAUAAAUAUUCUCGAACCCGCAAAGUUAACUAGGAAUAUUAAAUCUAGUUAAUAAGUGGGGAAUAUUGUUAGAAAUAAGUAGGUUGUGCCCUACUUAAUUAACUAACCAAAUUAGAGGGGCCAAUAUUGUUAAAAUUGAAACUUAACUUUAAUUAAUUAAAUAAAACACACCAAACACCCCACAAGGAGGUGUCUGGUCGUACAAGAAGAACAGGAGGGCGAUCCCCACACAUCAAAACCCUAAAUCUUCACCAAACUUGCAAAUUGAAGGCUCAAUCCAAGUCAAAAUCGAAAAUCAAGCAUAGAUUAUUGAUCCCCAUGGCAAGAGGGUUGUAAGUUUGACUCUUGACAAGCUAGAUGGAGGCUUGGGAAUGAAGCGGGUCAAACGGAGCAAGUACGAAAAGGAAAGCGUAAUUUGGAUGCGAGGUAAGUAAAACUUACACCUAAUUGUAGUAUACGUGUUUAUUUUAUAGGCGAUAAAUACAACAAAGGAUUUGGUUCGAAUUAUGGGUUCCAACACAAAACGAAUUGGGUUGGAACGAAUAGAAACGUUUUAAACCAUGAUUAAUGGUGAAAAAGGCAAAACGGUAAACUAGUCAUGAAUUGGUUAAUAGUUUAAGAGUUUUCUUAAAGUUACCUUAUAGCGUAACUAGUAAUGGAAAAUGAGUAAGAAUGGAAAUUUAGUCAAGUAUUGACUAAAGUAAAAUAAGUUUCAAAGGACACCCAUAGCAUAAGCCGAAUGGGUUAAAAAUAUAGGAAAUUGACUUUAGAAAGAAAGGGAUCUAGUGAGAAAAUCCGAAAUGGUUCGGAUGUGUGAUUGGUAAUUAAAAACCAUGUUUUUGUUACAUAUGAAAACGUUGGGUUAUAUAGACCGAACGGGUCAAAUGGUGGGAAUAACAUCAUUUGACAAAAUCAACUAAUGUGGUGGUCAAGUCAUGUGUUACAGGAGCGAAUAGUAAUUUGGAUAAUUGCGUCGCCAUAGAAUAUCGGUCAUAAAAGCAAGGUGUUGAAAAGGGUCACUAGGGUGACUCGAGCCAGGUGAAUGUCGAGGGUCCCGGAUGAAGAUCGAGCAUCGAGCAAGAACCGAACACACAUUAAAUAAAGCUUCCGCAACGUUGUUUUGUCGUUAUUCUAAACGGCGAUUUAAAUCACAUUAUGUAUAUCACUUAAAUUGUAAAAGUUUUUAACCAACCCGUAUUUCCGAUGUAUAUAUAAUCAUUAAUUACAUGAUUAUUUUCGCAAAA